GUUGGUUGGGCGACCUCUUCAAACCUAUGAAACGUGCUGAGAGACCAGCGCGUGGGAGAACGUGGUGGCACAGCUACCUGAAUCUCCGUGCCUGACCAUCUGUUCAGCCAAGAUGGCAAAGGAAGAGACUCUCAGUAGAACCAGGGGUAACUGAAACCAGGGAAAGUGAAACCAUGGAAAGGGGAGAUACCGUAUUUAAGGAAGAAGAGUGCUGUCAAGAGGACAACUGAGAAACAACCCGCAUGGCCAUAUAGCAGAUUCAGCAGAUCUGAGGGGUUGAAGACCAGACCGAAAGAGGAUGCAGAGCAUCUGCCAAUCAAUGCUUCAAAACACAAAAUGGCUGCUGCUGCCCGUCCCGCCACUGUCUCCUUAGACAGCGGGAGUUCCUCUGCAACCAUCCAUUUCAUCUACCUCAUUAAGUACACUUCUUUCAUUUGUCAAGUUAA